CCAACAAGUUAGUCCCUGCCUCGGGUGCAUACAAUAAUUGCCCAGUGAUCAUUCUAUCCCUAGUCUCAGCAUGGUGUCCCCAAAAAGUGGCACUGUUAUCCCAGUCCCUUCUAACCCCAUCACACUUAGGGUUUCAUUAGUUAAUUUAAGCCUUGAUACUUUACAGGCCUGUAAUGACCUAGCUGCUUCAGUACCUACUAGAUAUUGCUGAGAGAGCUG